UACAGAGGGCGCAAGCGUUGUUCGGAUUUAUUGGGCGUAAAGGGUGCGUAGGCGGCUCGGUAAGUCGGGUGUGAAAUCUUGGAGCUUAACUCCGAAACUGCAUUCGAUACUGCCGUGCUUGAGGACUGGAGAGGAGACUGGAAUUUACGGUGUAGCGGUGAAAUGCGUAGAUAUCGUGAGGAAGACCAGUGGCGAAGGCGGGUCUCUGGACAGUUCCUGACGCUGAGGCACGAAGGCCAGGGGAGCAAACGGG
rnacentral:rRNA from 1 species